ACCGGCAAAGCCCUUUUCGGGGUACUCGAGUGGCGAAACUGGGUGAGUAACACGUGGGUGAUCUGCCCUGCACUCUGGGAUAAGCCUGGGAAACUGGGUCUAAUACCGGAUAGGACCGCACUUUAGUGUGUGUGGUGGAAAGUUUUUUCGGUGUAGGAUGAGCCCGCGGCCUAUCAGCUUGUUGGUGGGGUAAUGGCCUACCAAGGCGGCGACGGGUAGCCGGACUGAGAGGUUGGUCGGCCACAUUGGGACUGAGAUACGGCCCAGACUCCUACGGGAGGCAGCAGUGGGGAAUAUUGCACAAUGGGCGCAAGCCUGAUGCAGCGGCGCCGCGUGGGGGAUGACGGCCUUCGGGUUGUAAACUCCUUUCGCCAGGGACGAAGCGUUUUGUGACGGUACCUGGAGAAGAAGCACCGGCUAACUACGUGCCAGCAGCCGCGGUAAUACGUAGGGUGCAAGCGUUGUCCGGAAUUACUGGGCGUAAAGAGCUCGUAGGUGGUUUGUCACGUCGUCUGUGAAAUUCCACAGCUUAACUGUGGGCGUGCAGGCGAUACGGGCUGACUUGAGUACUGUAGGGGUAACUGGAAUUCCUGGUGUAGCGGUGAAAUGCGCAGAUAUCAGGAGGAACACCGAUGGCGAAGGCAGGUUACUGGGCAGUUACUGACGCUGAGGAGCGAAAGCAUGGGUAGCAAACAGGAUUAGAUACCCUGGUAGUCCAUGCCGUAAACGGUGGGCGCUAGGUGUAGGGGCCUUUUGGGGUUUCUGUGCCGUAGCUAACGCAUUAAGGCGCCCCGCCUGGGGAGUACGGCCGCAAGGCUA
rnacentral:rRNA from 1 species